AGUAACACUGACUUAAAAUGUAUCAUCUUGACCCGACUCUCUGACUCUCACAGGGGGAACCCUUUGCAACAUCCACCAACAACCUCUGAUCAGUUAUUUGUCCUGUAGGACGCAAAGACAGAGAGAUGCUUUGCUGCUGCUUUCAGGAGCUGAGGUGUUGAAGACAUAAAUCCAUACAAUGGAGGAGCAUCGCAUGGGAAACACUGCCUUCAGGAGAGUUGUAAUGGGUAAACUUGGGCUGAAUUGAACGCUGGCUUCUUUCCAGGUAAGUCACCAUCAGCAGCGAAGACCAUUUGUUUUGAAUGCUGUUGUUUUUUAGCUGCUGGUGGGUGGCUCCAUCCAGCAGAGCUGCCUGUGUUCAUAGAGCUAAUGUGAGCCAGGAGAAAAGGAAAGUUCUGCCAGAGGCUUGCUGUACAAUGCUCGGGUCAGUCACAGAGUUAUAACAGCUGUAAUAACCCAUUGUAUUUUCUGUAGACUGAGGUAUGACUCUGCUAGCUUGGAAGCCUCUGAAUUCUUCAGUCCUGCAGAAUUCCAGUUUGAAACCUGGCUCCCCAUCCCUGGGCAGUCCUGCAGUUCCCACCAGUGGCACAUCACCUCCAGCAUGCUUUCCUGAGUAGGGAUGCAGCUCUCAGCUCAGUGCUGGAAUGCUGUUUUUGUCUCUUCUCCCUUUCUUCUUAUUGCUCAGUAAAUAAUAAAAGCAUUCCUAAUUGGAAAACGAGGCUUCAAAGAAGAGAUUGCUUCUUAUUCACUACAUUCUCCCACACUUGGGGUAUCGAUGCACUUUUUGGUAAGUCCCCUCCCUUUUUUAAGGAAAAAUGAUGUUCCAGCUGCUAUUUGUGUGUAAUCUACUGAGCAGCAAGGGGAAAUGGCAUAAGAAGAAAUCUCUGGAGUAACACAGGGAGAAAAACAAACUGAUAACUCCUGACAGAUUGAUGGCUCCUUCCUUCAUCUAAAUCUUUAUAGAUUAGCAUGUCUCUUCUUUCACAGAUAUGUUUGUUUGCACUAUGUCAUCUAACCUAAUCUGUACGGGAAGUAUAUUUAUCCUAGAGCAGUGGGGCAUUUGUAGUGCUGGCUUGUCACCAAGAGUAAUGGACAGGAAAGGUAAGAUAAUUUCAACCAUAUUAAGGGCUGAGAGUGACUAUGGGUGUUUUGAUAAUGGGAUGCUAGGAGUGAAUAAACUGAAAUGCUUUUGUUAUAUAUUUUGCUAAUAAUAGAUCUUUUGUUAUGGUUUCUUCCCGUGUUUCCUCUGUUCCACUGCUGAGAGGGGGCAGGAGGGCCACAUGAGGAUGGGGUGACACCGAGGGCUGGCUGGGAGCCCCAGGUUGGGCUGACCCAAGGAAGAAGGGAUGGGUGUGUGAGACCCCCAGGCAGGGCUGGCUUGGAGGCUCUCCAGGUUGCUGCUUCCCCCAGAGCCUUCUUCUGCAAAUAGAAGACAGGAUUGAGUGAGGGGAGACAUUGCUGGGCACAUCAGCACCAGGGAUGAGGCAACAUUCCUAGUCACAAAGAUGACAGUUAACUGGGGAUUUAUUUUUUUUUUUUCUUCUAGUGUUUUGCUGAUGAAGCUGACAAUCUCCAGAAGCUGCUUCCUGCCUUUGUUUGGUGACCAGCCCUUCUGCAGCACUGGAGCCUGCAAGGAGCACCUGGGAGCCAUUCAGCUGCCCUUCAUCCUCUCAGGGGACACCCGGAACACUUUGGCAGCCUUCCUUGUAAUGGAUGGCCCUGUGCCCACCAUCGCUUCGUUGCAGCAUCAGGAAGAAACAGAUAGAUGUUGCCAUUUACCUGGGUGGCUGAGAAGCAAUUUCAAGCAAUGGAAGUUUGGGCCCAGCAGUGUUCAUCAUGUCGGCUCUAGGAGAGAAAUUAGUCACAGUGUGAGUAAAUAAUGGAGAAGGUGCAGAAGGCAGAGUGAGGCAGCAUUUUUCUCCACCUUUUGAUCACUACGAUGCAGAAGGCAUUGCCAUGGAGAAGUGCAGUCUGCAGUGUGGUUGCUUUCCUCUGCAAAAAGGUGGCCCUGGAGCUGGGCUGGAGAUCACCGUCUGGGAAUGCCUGGUUUUACAGCCAGGAUGCCCUCUGAUUUCAUAAACAAAUAUUUCCCACAGCUCUGCUGAUGGUGUUGUUUGCAGUCUCUCCUGGUUUCCUAUGGAGCAGGCAGUGCAGAAAGCUGUGGAAGCAGUGGCACAUUCAGGCUGCGGGACUGCAUGGCUGAGAGUUUGGAACUCUAUUCCUACUCCUGCUUUUCUGAUUGAAAGGAUGGAAAUGCACCACAUAUGCAUUCAAGGUCUGGGGACUUCUCUGAGUCAGCUUAACGUAAACCUAAAAUUCAUUCCUUAACUCACUGCAUGGUUUCUGCUGAGGGACCGCUGCCUCUCUGCCCAAUGCUGUGUCAGAAAUUUCCCGUACUCUUUUGAGGUAAAUGACCAAUAUUUGAGUUGUUCUUACACGUGUACUGUUUGUCCAUACUGAUGGAAAGAAUAUUCUGUGCUUACCAUAACUGCUAGCAGCACAGAUUUCAUAGGAUGAAAGAGCAAAACAACACAGAAGUGUUGGGGGUUUCAGCCGGAGGAGACUGAAUCCCAUACAGAGAGUUCUGUAGGUGUAGCUCCCAGCUAUCUGCUGCCUCAUCAAAGAUGCAUUGUACAAAGAUUUCUGGUCUGUGCUCUGGCCUUGAAUGGAGGUUUGUGGCUGCCCGUGCCACGCUUCCCUUUCAUCUCAAGGCAACAGGAAAAUUACUUCUGCUGCUCCUUCCUCUUCAUAUUCGUUCAUCAUUUCCAUAUGGUAGCUGUGCCGUGGUGCCAUGUGCUGUGCAGCUCAGCUGCGCUGGGAGCUGCCAACGUUAGAAUCAAUUUUUGCUCUGAAGCAGCAGUGAGGAGCUGCUUUGUAUCACGCUGCAAGGAAAUGAGCACUGGCUCGAAAGCAGUUGGUUCUGUUUUCCCAGUCCUCAUAUCUCCUUGGGAUCUUGGAAAGUUUUUUGAUCAUCUUGGACUGGAAGUGUGAGCUUUUGAUGAUUUUCUACGGAUACCAUUUGGGGGUUACUUUUCUAUGUAUAGCCCAUAGUGUAUUUUGUGGGGUCACAGAAACAUGUUUCUGUGAAUCGACUUGUUUCAUUUCUACCACUACUGAGUCCGAAUGUGAAGAGCUGUUGUGAUAAAUGCAGAGUGGAAUGGUAAAGUCUGGCACAGAUCUGACUUUUUAGUUUCCCUGUUGUGUGUCACAAGUCAGUCUAACUAACAUGCAGGUGUUUUGGUCUACAGCUGGUGGCUGCCCUGGUGAUGCCAAAGGGCUCAGAUCUGCAGUUAAUAAAGACCCAGACAUGGGUCGACGGAGCUCUUCUAUCCCCUCUGAUAAAGAGAUACCUGGGAGCACAGCACGCUUCUCCUGCUGAGACAGAGAAAGUGGUUGUGACAGAAAGCACUAGUGAUCCUGAGAUAUGACAGUUUGGGAGGUUUCCCAGUUAAUGAGAUUUUUCUCAGCUAACAGCCUGCCUGCUGAGCAGCCUGACCCAGCCCACCCCUCGUACACACUGGUGGCAGAGUCCCUGCUGGGAGGGGACAGAAGGCUUGGGGCUCAGAUCUGCAUGGGGUAGCACCAGCACUGCUGCCAGGAAUGCGUGUGGUCCUCAUCCAGGUGUGAAGGGCUGGAGGGAGCAGCUCUCCACCAACUGCCUACAUACUGAAACCCAUCUAAAAGGGCCCUGGGGGUGAUUUGUUGCGUUCAUGUUUCAGAGACCCUGCAGUAACUAAAACUGUACCUUUUCAGAGCUGGCACUAAACUUAUGGAAAUAACUCAUUUCAGAGAGCCGACUGAUUCUUGGCUACAGGACAAGCGAGUGCCCACUGGCCUGUCUGGGCCAGGGCAGCAGUACCCGAAGGUUUGUGUGCCUGGGCAGUGGUGGUGGCAGCAGGUAGGGGCAUGUGAGCCCCCAUCACUGGGAUGUGCCUGGGUCUGGGCCAAGACCAUCCCAGGACAGCUGCCCUGGGGCCAUGCUGGAGGUGUUGGCCCCAGUUCCGGAGCCAGGUGCUGUCUGGGGGUUUAUGGGGGAGCAGCACCAGCACUGGGCCAAUUUGUGUUUCUCACCAUUGCCAACAGACCUGCUUCCCCACAUCAUGUUGUGCUGGGAUCCCAGCUCUGUGCUCACAGCCAGAAUCCCACUGCAGGAGAGGGGAUUGUCUGACGCCAAGAACGCGAUUGGCAGCGCUGAGGCGGCGGCUUUCCAAACCAGAAUGUUACUGACUGCCAUGUGGGAGCUCAGCUCUCCCCCAGCCCUCACUGCUGUCUGUUCCUCUGGAGCAGGAUGUGCCCACAGGAGGGAUUGCACUCAUGGAUCGGAUGCCACAGCACAGACAGGAUGAUGCUCUGCAAAACACGGAGAAGCAGAGGCAGAAGAUGUAGGGAAAAAAGAAAGAUAUUUGAAUUUGUUACUAGGAGGAGUGAAAUAAACAUGGGAACGUUUCCCAGGAGCAGAGCUUGUUAUGGUAUAUCUGUAAAAUGGCAGAGGGUCACAUGGAUGGUAUUUGCAGAAACAUGUCACUCUCAGCCAUGAGCUGUGGUGCUGCUGCUCUGUGCCAGCUGGAUGAAACACACCAGAGAAAUUCACUGCACAGUGCUGUGCAUUUCCAACAUGCCACGGUAAAAGAUUAUUGCAGCCACAGCGUUUAGGUACAGUUAUUUGAUAAAGGCAAUUAUGGGAAAAUUAAUUGGGAAAGGUUAACUUUGAAGAACUGUGGAAUGUUUGCUCCCAUUGGUAUUGAAGUGUGGUUGCAGGUAUCUCUUGGUAAGAAACUUGAAGUCUGGGUGCACAUUAACACAAGGCACAUUUCUAUCUCUUCACAGCAAUGAUUUGGCCAGCACGAUUUGGAUUCAGAACUAAAUACACAGAGUGCAAACAGUCACUGCAGGAUGGGGCUCGGGCAAUUGGCACAGAUGUGUGAGUCCAGGCUCUGCUUUCAUACAGAUCCCUGGGAUGUCACAUUAGGAAAUCCCCCCUUCUGUACCAGCAUCUUCUCAGCAUGUGCACUGGGAAAUACCCACCUUUAAACAGGUGCUUCCAUACAGGCUUUCACACAGUGCUCUCACACAAUUUGUAUAAAAAUGUCUUAUGUUCUUCUGAUUGCGCUUCGAAACAUUCCUUUGGAGAACUCUAAGUGACACGUAGUGGCUGCGUUUUUCUUUUUCAUGCGAUUUUACAAGUCCUUUUUUUUUGUUUUGUUUAGUUUUAAAUCAUGUUAGUGAUCUGUUUUCAGCUCCAUUGGAUGCUCCUGCCAUACUUGACCACUGGACACUGGCAUACACAGUGUAGAUCUGAUAAAAUGUGUUUCCUGUACCAUGCGUCACUCCCAAUUUAUUUAGCAGCUCAAAGCUGCUGCAGUGGUAAAGGUGGUGAUAUACUUGCUCCAUUCUUUGAGGCACAAACA